rnacentral:tRNA from 1 species
UGCGGGGUGGUGCAAUGGUAGCACGCCGGACUCUGGAUCCGGUAAUGAAGGUUCGAAUCCUUCCCCCGCAGCCA